GGGAAUGUGGCUUAGUGGUAGAGUGCUUGCCUAUCAUGCAUGAAGCCCUGGGUUCAAUUCCUCAGCACCA
rnacentral:tRNA from 1 species